UACAGAGGGUGCGAGCGUUAAUCGGAAUUACUGGGCGUAAAGCGUGCGUAGACGGUUAUGUAAGUCGGGUGUGAAAGCCCCGGGCUCAACCUGGGAAUUGCAUUCGAGACUGCAUAGCUAGGGUGCGGAAGAGGGAAGCGGAAUUUCCGGUGUAGCGGUGAAAUGCGUAGAUAUCAGGAGGAACACCGGUGGCGAAGGCGGCUCUCUGGUCCACAACUGACGCUGAGGUGCGAAAGCUAGGGGAGCAAACGGG
rnacentral:rRNA from 1 species